rnacentral:misc_RNA from 1 species
AACGCAAAUUGCACUCUCUGGCAACCCGGGGAGUAUGCCUGUUUGAGGGUCAGUGUUAAUAAAAAUCGGGUGCGUUGCAAUUUUUGUGACGUUUCCGGAGUUUGAGUUAUUCUUAACUUCGGUUUAAAGAGGCUUAAAAUUGACCUUUUUUUGUGCAUUUUAGACGUACAUAAAUUUUUUUUUAUUCGUCCAUCCUAAUGCCAAAAUCUAUUAGAUGCGACCAUAUCUUGUGGUUUCGUGUCCAUAAAUUUUUCAUGAUUUGACCUCAAAUCAGGUAGGAACACCCGCUGAACUUAA